rnacentral:lncRNA from 1 species
AGAGACGAUCGACAUGCGAUGCAGUUGUAUCUAUAAAAUCCGAAAACCCAGCUCUUCCUUCCGUUUGCAUUACAUGAUUAUUCAAUUUCCCCUCAAAACCCUAAUUAAUCCUCCCAAGCGCCUUGGGAUUUAUAUAUAUAUCACGUAGAAGAAACGCAAGAAAGGGAUAAUCCUAAUUAAUAUCCCUGGAUAAGCUGAGG